rnacentral:rRNA from 1 species
CCUACGGGAGGCAGCAGUGGGGAAUAUUGCGCAAUGGGGAAACCCUGACGCAGCAACGCCGCGUGAGUGAGGAAGGACUUCGGUCUGUAAAGCUCUGUUAAUGUGGAAAAAUGGUAGUUGGUCUAAUAGGCCGAUUAUUUGAUGGUACACAUAGAGGAAGCACCGGCUAACUUCGUGCCAGCAGCCGCGGUAAUACGAAGGGUGCAAGCGUUGUUCGGAUUUAUUGGGCGUAAAGCGCGCGUAGGCGGACCUGUAAGUCAGAUGUGAAAUCUCGGGGCUCAACCUCGAAACUGCGUCUGAAACUGCAGGUCUAGAAUCUCGGAGGGGGAAGGGGAAUUUCGCAUGUAGGGGUAAAAUCCGUAGAUAUGCGAAGGAACACCAGAGGCGAAGGCGCCUUCCUGGACGAGUAUUGACGCUGAGGCGCGAAAGCGUGGGGAUCAAACAGGAUUAGAUACCCUGGUAGUCCACGCUGUAAACUAUGAACACUAGGUAUUGGAGGAUUUGACCCCUUCAGUGCCGUAGCUAACGCGUUAAGUGUUCCGCCUGGGAAGUCGGUCGCAAGACUAAACUCAAAUGAAUUGACCGGCUGAGAGNGCGAGACGACGACGAGGGAGGAGG